UGUUUAACGACUAGGGAAGAUUCUCGUGUCCCCCAGAGGCUGUGGGUGACACCAUGGCUGCCCCCAGUCUGGACCAUUUGGGCCAGUGAGUGCCCAGGGGCUGUGGACA
rnacentral:snoRNA from 1 species